AGUAAGGCCUCCCAUUGGUCGGUAUCCGUGGUUCCCACAGUCUUGCCAUCCUUCCCACGGUGCGAGGGCUCGGGAUAACCCCUUCGAUUUGGAACCCUAAAAAGAUCAUUUUUGUUCUUCUUCUUGUUCCUCGGAAGGCUCGAGAUUCCCGCGGUAGAGCGUAUAUUUCUGUGGGAUCACGGCGUUUCCACUUCUCCCAGGAUCAUUAACUGCUCUGCCUCCGGGAGUCCGGCGCAUUGCGGAACUCUCCAGCGUGCUUUGCCUUCUGCUCUCGUCCGUUGCCAUCGUUAUACUGGAUGCAUUCCGUUCUUCGACUAGGGGAUUCCAGGUGAUUCUCAUCCUUAUCCUUCCUUGAUCAUUUUAUCGGUCGUCGAUGGGUCUUUCUUUCGUUCUUUGAUCGCAAGUAGUGUCGCUUCAACGCGCCAUUUUGAGCGGAUUGCCACGCUUAUUCGCAUAACGGAAAGACAAGCUUUUCUUGGUACGUGACGAGGGUGCCAAAGAUCAACUCUCUAUGGAUGUUUUCAUGUACCAACAAGAAUUUGCGUGUAUUAUUCCGUAAACUAUUCUCGAAUGACCAAUAUAUUGCUUCAAGGCUAGCGAGGGUAAUCGUUCGUCACUUCUAUGGAGUCUACACAGCUCACAAACGCGCACUGUAUAUCGUUGUGGGAUAUUGCACAGUGCAGCAGCAUCACCCAGUGCAUCAUAGGUUGUAAGUUUGGCAAUUGAUUCUUCUGAGCCAUCUUCUCGAACAGCAACUGCCUCCUAUGUGGAAAAAGAAAUUUCCUAUUUAUUCAACUGCUGCUUUGUUAUUUCUUAUUUGCUCCUAUAAUACCUAUGUUGCCUUUUUAGACAAUAUAAUUAAUGUACAUUGGUCAAGUUUACAUUUCCUCCUUGAAAUGAAUGGAACCUAAGGCUACAACAGUCUAUUCUGACUCUAUUGUUUUAGGAAACAUAGCUCCGGAUUGAACCAGCAUGCCAUUGACAUUAAGGUAGUUGUAGUGAUAAAGCCUUUUUAUGCCUUAUGAGAAAUCUUGGUUGAAGUUCAUUGGGGAUUAUUUGGUGCUGGUGAUUUUAAUAAACCAAUACAGGUGAAGAUUGAUACUUUCAGAUUUGGUUCCGAGAUUUUAUAAUAAAAGAGGUUCAGACUUCAGAGCAUAAGAUAAACUUCUAUUUGAUGACAUUAUUGGUCUCAAGAGGCAUCAUAGGACGAGCUAGGAUAGUUUUUCAUCCUGAGAGGUUUGGUAAUAUUAUUUUAUAGCAUGUGCCAUGACAGUUUUUCAUGUGGAUUACUGCAGAAACUUAACAACUUGGAUUGCAGUUCUAAAUUUCUAAUAACUUUUCUUCAACCAGAGUUGUCUGUAUGCCUUUUUUCCAUAGUUAAUUGUUAUAACGUCCAGAAGUCUUUUCUCCUGAAAUAGGAAACUGGUUUACAUCAUUAUAUUUGUUUAAUUUCUCUUUCUCGUUUCCUACCAAUUCUAAGUAAUUCACUGUACUGAUAGAGAACUAACUUUAUGCCACUGAUCUUAUUUGAAUGAUACUGUCUCUUCAUUUUAAUUCUAGCUUUCUUACAUUGUGAGAAGCUCGGCACUUACCAGAUAUCCUAAUAAUAUAAUAUAGACUUGAUCCGCAGGACUUCCUUGUUCUAUGACCACUUCUCCUGGGAGGAAGAAUUCUUCAUUCAGCAUCAUUACCUGCAUUCAGUGUAAAAAAUUUCCGUAACACUAGAUUUGUGUUAUAAGUUCUUGUUAAAUGCGUAAUGGCAAAUAAAUAAUCUCUAAAGUGGUAUAUUGCAAAACAUACAAUCUGAUUAAGGAAUUCAUCUGAACAUCCUUGGAAAAGUGGAACUUUCUGGAUCACAUCAAGGUAUAGAAUUUGAGAUAUCUGCAAAAGUAUUUUGUAGAAUAAGUUUAAUUACUAUAACAAAAGAAUGAUUAUAUUCUGUAAUUAAAAGUAACUUUCACGAAAACUGAUAUGUUUUGUGAUGCUAAUCAUGACCAAGUUCUUAUGAUUGUGCAAAAGAAUAAUUGUACUUUACUGACAGUAAACAGGAAACCGAUAUUAGGAGCAAUAAACAUUAAAUAUCCAUGAUAAAUUUAAUCAAGGAAUUAUUGCUUUUCACUUAAAAAAAAAAAUUCGUGAACCCAAAUAUUUGAUCAAAAAUCCUUAAUGUUGUUUAUUUUGACAAUUGUUACAAGGCAGAAAAUGAGCCAGAGAUGAACUGUAUUUCCUCUGCCGUAUAUGAAUAUGAUCAUAGUUAGCUUGCUUCUUUUUCUUCUUAGAAUUUCUGAUGUUAUGAAAUGUCUGGCAAACUUUCAUUUUGUUUCUCUUUAUUUCAUUACUUAAGGAUGCACAAUUACCUUUGAUCGCAAGGCCAUUGGGACGUCUUCGAGAACACUUUCUUUGUUGUAGCUACUUUCAUACUGUAGUCUUAAAUGGUUUUUGAUCUGAGAUCUGAUGUCUUUCCCAAGUUUGUUUCUGUUCAUGUACUUGAUGAGGUCUGUCAUUUUGUCUCGAAAUUGCUCAGUCUUGGACCCCUUGACAAUCAAUGCAGUCAUAUUACCAAUCAGAUAGGCGCCAAGUAUCAUUGUCAGAGAAAUAUAUAUCAUGCUGAAAACCAUCUCUCUAGUAUUCACAGCAUGUACAUCACCAUACCCUGCAAUAGUAUUGGCAUGAUGUGACAAAAAAUGUCAAAAUUCAAUGGAUGAAAUGAUGGAGUCCCAAGGAACACAUCCAAGAAGAUCAACAGCGAAGCUACCCUUCAGAUAGCUGCAUCACAGGAAUCAAUUUCCAGUCUUAAGUCCCAGACAAAGUGUUCAUUUUCGUGGGAUUAUAUUAAAGUAUGCACUGGUAAUCGAUCAAAGGUGUUAUGAACUAGUGGUUUCCUGCUUUUGUCCAUUUAUAUGCAGUGAUUGAGCUUCUCCCAUCUCAGGGGUAAACAGUGUUGGAAGUGUCUCCACUUCUACAUGGAUGAACUGUCCUAUAACUGGAAUGAAAGGUGUUCCUCUUAAAGGAUACUCGUAAAUGAGAAGUGGCAUUGAAAUGGCUCUUAUCUUUUGUGUCAUGGUGCCAACCUUGUUGUCAUUCAAGCUGGUGGAUAAGUUGUAUCAAUACUUGGUUUCAUGAGGUGGUGGGUGGGUUUCAUACCCUAACGUAAUCUAGCAAUAUGCUCUUAGUGCAAGCAGGUCACCUUCCUCGAGUCUUAACAGCAUGUUUCAGCUUUCAUGUCUAUCUAAUUUGUCCAAACCUUCAUAAACUCUAUCAAAUAGACAUGUUCUAACU